rnacentral:rRNA from 1 species
GACGGAGGGUGCAAGCGUUAUUCGGAAUCACUGGGCUUAAAGGGCGCGUAGGCGGGCGGCCGAGUCCGGGGUGAAAGCCCCCAGCUCAACUGGGGAAGUGCCUCGGAUACUGGUCGCCUCGAGGGAGAUAGGGGCGUGCGGAACUUCCGGUGGAGCGGUGAAAUGCGUAGAUAUCGGAAGGAACACCGGUGGCGAAAGCGGCGCACUGGACCACAACUGACGCUGAGGCGCGAAAGCUAGGGGAGCAAACAGG